rnacentral:rRNA from 1 species
CGGCAGGCUUACACAUGCAAGUCGAGGGGCAGCGAGGGGUAGCAAUACUCUGUCGGCGACCGGCGGAAGGGUGCGUAACGCGUGAGCAACUUGCCCGUGACAGGAGGAUAACCGCUGGAAACGGCGCCUAAUACUCCAUAACAUUAUUUUUCGCAUGGAGAAUAAUUGAAAGUUACGAUGGUCACGGAUGGGCUCGCGUGGCAUUAGCUAGUUGGUGAGGUAACGGCUCACCGAGGCGACGAUGCCUAGGGGUUCUGAGAGGAAGGUCCCCCACACUGGAACUGAGACAACGGGUUCCAGAACUUCCUACGGGAGGCAGCAGUGAGGAAUAUUGGUCAAUGGGCGCGAGCCUGAACCAGCCAAGUAGCGUGAGGGAAGACGGCCCUAUGGGUUGUAAACCUCUUUAGUCCGGGAAUAAAGUGGGCGACGUGUCGCCUAUUGCAUGUACCGGAAGAAUAAGGACCGGCUAAUUCCGUGCCAGCAGCCGCGGUAAUACGGAAGGUCCGGGCGUUAUCCGGAUUUAUUGGGUUUAAAGGAAGCGCAGGCGGUCUGAUAAGCGGGCAGUGAAAGACGGUGGCUCAACCAUCGAGGUGCUGUCCGAACUGUCGGACUUGAGUACGUGCGAGGCAGGCGGAAUUCGUGGUGUAGCGGUGAAAUGCUUAGAUAUCACGAAGAACCCCGAUUGCGAAGGCAGCUUGCCAGUGCGCCACUGACGCUAAAGCUCGAAAGUGCGGGUAUCGAACAGGAUUAGAUACCCUGGUAGUCCGCACGGUAAACGAUGGAUGCUCGCUGUUCGUUGCGUUUAUAGUGAUGAGCGGCCAAGCGAAAGCGUUAAGCAUCCCACCUGGGGAGUACGCCGGCAACGGUGAAACUCAAAGGAAUUGACGGGGGCCCGCACAAGCGGAGGAACAUGUGGUUUAAUUCGAUGAUACGCGAGGAACCUUACCCGGGCUUGAAUUGCAGCUGCAUAGACCAGAGAUGGUCUUUCCCUUCGGGCGCGC